rnacentral:rRNA from 1 species
UACGUAGGGACCAAGCGUUGUUCGGAUUUACUGGGCGUAAAGGGCACGUAGGCGGCGUGUUAAGUCACUUGUGAAAUCUCUAAGCUUAACUUAGAACGGUCAAGUGAUACUGAUGUGCUAGAGUGCAGAAGGGGCAACCGGAAUUCUUGGUGUAGCGGUGAAAUGCGUAGAUAUCAAGAGGAACACCUGAGGUGAAGACGGGUUGCUGGGCUGACACUGACGCUGAGGCGCGAAAGCUAGGGUAGCAAACGGG